UACGGAGACGCUAUUUCCCUCCGAACUCUGAAGUAGCCAGAAACAGAUUAUUGGCCGAGGAAAAACCAAUUUCGCUCUAAAGGAUAAGCAACAAAAUACUGAGGGGGGAAAAAGCCUACACAAAUGGAAACAUACGGCACAAAAUCAAGGAGCGACCAGUUCCGCAUGGUUACACUAAAAUGCACUGCACUCCCACUCUCUGGCUUGGCUGAAGAUAACCAGCAAGCUCUGAACAGUUUAAAAGCCUUCCAAGGACUGCAGCAGCACUGGACACACAAGAGAGUCGAGAACAGUAUUGGAUUUAUUGUUAGGGUUACAAUUUUCACGAUCUUUGCAUGCAAAACUUGCCACUCUGAGCCCAGUGAACUAUUUUUAUUUGGUUUACUUACUGGCUUUCUGGAUGACUAGGUAGAGCUUUAACUAAAGAACACUUCUGCUGUGGUCUGUGAUGAUGAAUUUUCC
rnacentral:lncRNA from 1 species